GUCCCUUCGAGGACAUCCGAUUAAAUUGGAACGAUACAGAGAAAAUUAACAUGGUCUCUGCGCAAGGAUGACACGCACAAAUUGAGAAUUGGUUCAAUCUUUU